rnacentral:rRNA from 1 species
UACGGAGGUGGCAGGCGUUACUCGGAUUGAUUGGGUGUAAAGGGUGCGUAGGUGGUAAGUUAAGUCGAACGUGAAAUACCUUGGCUCAACCAAGGAACUGCGUUCGAAACUGGCUUGCUUGAGUGACAGAGAGGAAAGUGGAAUUCCCGGUGUAACAGUGAAAUGUGUAGAUAUCGGGAGGAACACCAGUGGCGAAGGCGACUUUCUGGCUGUCUACUGACACUGAGGCACGAGAGCAAGGGGAGCAAACAGG